rnacentral:rRNA from 1 species
GUCGUACGAGAGUUUUUAACUCAAGUGGCGGACGGGUGAGUAACACGUAAGAAUUUGCCUUUAGGAGGGGGACAACAACUGGAAACGGUUGCUAAUACCCCAUAUGCUUUCGAGUGAAAUGGAUUUUUCCGCCUAGAGAGAAGCUUGCGGCUGAUUAGCUUGUUGGUGAGGUAAUGGCUCACCAAGGCGACGAUCAGUAUCUGGUUUGAGAGGACGAUCAGACACACUGGAACUGAGACACGGUCCAGACUCCUACGGGAGGCAGCAGUGGGGAAUUUUCCGCAAUGGGCGAAGGCCUGACGGAGCAAUACCGCGUGAGGGAUGACGGCCUAUGGGUUGUAAACCUCUUUUUUCAGGGAGGAAUAAAAUGACGUGUACCUGAAGAAUAAGCAUCGGCUAACUCCGUGCCAGCAGCCGCGGUAAGACGGAGGAUGCAAGUGUUAUCCGGAAUCACUGGCCGUAAAGCGUCUGUAGGUGGUCCAAUAAGUCAACUGUUAAAUCUUGAGGCUCAACCUCAAAACCGCAGUCGAAACUAUUAGACUAGAGUAUAGUAGGGGUAAAGGGAAUUUCCAGUGGAGCGGUGAAAUGCGUAGAGAUUGGAAAGAACACCGAUGGCGAAGGCACUUUACUGGGCUAUUACUAACACUCAGAGACGAAUGCUAGGGUAGCAAAUGGGA